UGGGCGAAAGCCUGACCGAGCAACGCCGCGUGAGCGAUGAAGGCCUUCGGGUCGUAAAGCUCUGUUGUUAGAGAAGAACAAGUACGAGAGUAACUGCUCGUACCUUGACGGUACCUAACCAGAAAGCCACGGCUAACUACGUGCCAGCAGCCGCGGUAAUACGUAGGUGGCAAGCGUUAUCCGGAAUUAUUGGGCGUAAAGCGCGCGCAGGCGGUCUCUUAAGUCUGAUGUGAAAGCCCACGGCUCAACCGUGGAGGGUCAUUGGAAACUGGGAGACUUGAGUGCAGGAGAGAAAAGUGGAAUUCCACGUGUAGCGGUGAAAUGCGUAGAGAUGUGGAGGAACACCAGUGGCGAAGGCGGCUUUUUGGCCUGUAACUGACGCUGAGGCGCGAAAGCGUGGGGAGCAAACAGGAUUAGAUACCCUGGUAGUCCACGCCGUAAACCGAUGAGUGCUAGGUGUUGGGGGGUUCCACCCUCAGUGCUGAAGUUAACACCAUUAAGCACUCCGCCCUGGGGAGUACGACCGCAAGGUUGAAACUCAAAGGAAUUGACGGGGGCCCGCACCAAGCAGUUGGAGCCAUGUGGUUUAAUUCCGAAGCAACGCCGAAGAACCUUACCCAGGUCUUGGACAUCCCUUUGACCACUCUAGAGAUAGAGCUUUCCCCUUCGGGGGACAAAGUGACAGGUGGUGCAUGGUUGUCGUCAGCUCGUGUCGUGAGAUGUUGGGUUAAGUCCCGCAACGAGUCGCAACCCUUGACCUUAGUUGCCAGCAUUCAGUUGGGCACUCUAAGGUGACUGCCGGUGACAAACGGAGGAAGGUGGGGAGAGUCAAAUAUAGCCCCU
rnacentral:rRNA from 1 species